rnacentral:rRNA from 1 species
UGGUGGUGCAUGGCCGUUCUUAGUUGGUGGAGUGAUUUGUCUGCUUAAUUGCGAUAACGAACGAGACCUUGACCUGCUAAAUAGCCAGGUUGACUUUUGUCGGCCGCCGGCUUCUUAGAGGGACUUUUGGCUCAAGCCAAUGGAAGUACGAGGCAAUAACAGGUCUGUGAUGCCCUUAGAUGUUCUGGGCCGCACGCGCGCUACACUGACAGAGCCAGCGAGUACAUCACCUUGGCCGAAAGGUCUGGGUAAUCUUGUUAAACUCUGUCGUGCUGGGGAUAGAGCAUGCAAUUAUUGCUCUUCAACGAGGAAUGCCUAGUAAGCGCAAGUCAUCAGCUUGCGUUGAUUACGUCCCUGCCCUUUGUACACACCGCCCGUCGCUACUACCGAUUGAAUGGCUCAGUGAGGCCUUGGGACUGGCUCAGAGAGGUCGGCAACGACACUCAGAGC